rnacentral:rRNA from 1 species
AACGAACGCUGGGGGCAGGCUUAACACAUGCAAGUCGAACGAGAUCUUCGGAUCUAGUGGCAGACGGGUGAGGAACACGUGGGAACAUCCCUUUCAGUUCGGAAUAACGUUGGGAAACUAACGCUAAUACCGGAUACGUCCUUCGGGAGAAAGAUUUAUCGCUGAAAGAUUGGCCCGCGUCUGAUUAGCUAGUUGGUGAGGUAACGGCUCACCAAGGCUACGAUCAGUAGCUGAUCUGAGAGGAUGAUCAGCCAAAUUGGGACUGAGACACGGCCCAAACUCCUACGGGAGGCAGCAGUGGGGAAUAUUGGACAAUGGGCGCAAGCCUGAUCCAGCCAUGCCGCGUGAGUGAUGACGGCUUUCGGGUUGUAAAGCUCUUUUGUCCGGGAAGAUAAUGACUGUACCGGAAGAAUAAGCCCCGGCAAACUUCGUGCCAGCCGCCGCUGUAA